AAAACCAGACUUUCACUCAGGAGGCUGAUGUCCACUUCCUGUAUGAAUGUUGAUGUUGUAUGCCUCUAACGAGCAGACGCACCCAGGACACCCACCGUGUCAUAUGUAAACGUGAAAGUCCACUGACCAAGCUGUGAUAUGUGACAAGUUGGGAGUGAGAGAAGUUGCCUAUUACUGCUGAUUUUGUUCUUUUUGGAAAAAUGUCAAAUUUAAUAUUAUGUCCUUCUGUUCUCCUGUUUGAGUCCUUCAGUCUGAUACGACAGAGCAACCAUCUCUGAACACCUCUGCCUUUAGAUUUACAUUGUUUUUUCCAAUGCAGUACUUUCCGCUUAAAUGUAAAUGUCAUAAAGUCCCCACAAAUAUAAAUACUGUGGUAAGGUACAAGAAUCUCCAGGGUGUUGAGACAGUAUGUGCACCAUUACUGUGGUUUUCAUGUUCAUUUUUCUUUUAACCUGAAUGUCUCAUCAUGUGGUUGGAACCAACGUGAGAAUUUUGUCGAAGUUCAACAGGAAGUCCAAAGACUGAGAGACACCAUAAAGGAGGCCAUGAUCUUUCACUUGCCGUGUGACAGUUGACGUGUAACUGUCUUUAGGAUCCCCAGAAUGGUUUACUGGACAUCUCUGACAUUCAGAGCUUUGCUUUUCUGUCCAACAGUGAUGCUCUUUCUUCUGAUAUUUUCUUCAAAAGGUCAGUCUCAGGUUAUUGCUCCAUCUCAUCCAACAGUGGGAAAUAACAUCAUUUUGCCAAAGCACCUGAACCCUGCCGUGUCUCCUGUCUUCCUGUCUCUGGAGUGGUCAGGACCUGACCUGACAGACGUUUCACUGAAGCGCUCCAGAGUGGAACUCUCUGAAGACGGCUCCUACAGGAGCUAUAAUAACAGCAGUUCAUCUCUCUUGCUGCUGCUUGUAUCCCGUGUGGCUCUCACGUUUAUGUGAUUGGUUUUGGUGGUUACUGUCGUCGUCUGACUGAAUGCCAAGUAAACCUUUGCCCUUGUGCCGAAAUGUUCGCCUAAUGUCCACCUCAAAACCACGGACUGUAUUAAAGAAGUGGACGCAGCCUCCGAUCUGAAAGGUGAAGCCAAUGCUUGGGUGCCUUUAACCUACAUCAUUUCUGACAGCCAGCAGGGGGCGACUCCACUGGUUGCAAAAAUAAACUGGAUUGUUUAGAGGUCUUUAAGAAAAUGACCCAACUUCUCGUUUGAUUUAUUGCCUCAGUAUACAUUGUUCCAAUGAGUUUGUUUUCCCAGUUACUAAUUUCAAGGCUUCUUCAACACAGCAUGAUGUUCAGUUUGUUAAACAUGGUCCCAUUUAGACACCAUCUGUGACACCUGUGAAUUUUCAUCGUCAAACUAAUUUUCCUACAUUCCGGUGAAUGUUUAUGCACAUUUUCUGCAUCAACUUAUGGUGUUAAUGUCCUUAACUUUCUCAAAAUAUAAGUCCUCUGCUACUUUCAUGUUUUUGUUGGCGUGUGGGGGGACGGAUGCUCUAAAUAUUGAGUCCCCCCUGAAAUCUAUGUUGUGAUGUAUAAGACUGCAUAUGUGAUACACAGUAGAUUUCACACUACCUCCACCUUACAAAUGUCUGUCAGUCACAACUACAUGAAUUCACUGUUUGAGUUGAUCUGCAGACUGGGGAUAAAAAUGUCACUCUCUAAAAAUGGUUAAACUCUUACUGUGGGUGGAAUUGCUUCACAUCCUGCAAGACUAAUCUAGCUUGUUUUAUUUUUCUCAGUCAUGUAUUUUAAAGUUGUUCUGAUGCAUUUCCUUUAUCUGAU